rnacentral:siRNA from 1 species
UAAUACUUGUUGCAUGACAUACAA